GACGAACGCUGGCGGCGUGCUUAACACAUGCAAGUCGAACGGAAAGGCCCUGCUUUUGUGGGGUGCUCGAGUGGCGAACGGGUGAGUAACACGUGAGUAACCUGCCCUUGACUUUGGGAUAACUUCAGGAAACUGGGGCUAAUACCGGAUAGGAGCUCCUGCUGCAUGGUGGGGGUUGGAAAGUUUCGGCGGUUGGGGAUGGACUCGCGGCUUAGCAGCUUGUUGGUGGGGUAGUGGCUUACCAAGGCUUUGACGGGUAGCCGGCCUGAGAGGGUGACCGGCCACAUUGGGACUGAGAUACGGCCCAGACUCCUACGGGAGGCAGCAGUGGGGAAUAUUGCACAAUGGACGGAAGCCUGAUGCAGCAACGCCGCGUGCGGGAUGACGGCCUUCGGGUUGUAAACCGCUUUCGCCUGUGACGAAGCGUGAGUGACGGUAAUGGGUAAAGAAGCACCGGCUAACUACGUG
rnacentral:rRNA from 1 species